UAGACAUGUAUUAUUUAUCUUAAUAUCUAAAUGUAUAGAAAAAUAAAUAUAUAAAAAAAAUCAAAACGACUUAUACCUUAAGUGCCAAAUCUCUGUGCAUCCCAAGACAUAACUAUGUUAGGAGGGCCAUAGUGCCAAUUCCACACUAAUUUGACCAUCCUAACGCCAUGCGUAAAUAUAAAUGACUUUAUUGGUGCCUCC
rnacentral:lncRNA from 1 species